GAUAAACGCUGGCGGCGUGCCUAACACAUGCAAGUCGAACGGACGAAGCCGUUAAGUUUACUUAAUGGCCUAGUUAGUGGCGGACGGGUGAGUAACGCGUGAGCAACCUGCCUUUCAGAGGGGGACAACAGUUGGAAACGACUGCUAAUACCGCAUAAUGUACAAUGAGGGCAUCCUCGAUGUACCAAAGAUUUUAUCGCUGAAAGAUGGGCUCACGUCUGAUUAGUUAGUUGGUGGGGUAACGGCCUACCAAGACCGCGAUCAGUAGCCGGAAUGAGAGGUUGAACGGCCACAUUGGGACUGAGAUACGGCCCAGACUCCUACGGGAGGCAGCAGUGGUGAAUAUUGGGCAAUGGGCGCAAGCCUGACCCAGCAACGCCGCGUGAAGGAAGAAGGCUUUCGGGUUGUAAACUUCUUUUAUCAGGGACGAAGAAUGACGGUACCUGAGGAAUAAGCCACGGCUAACUACGUGCCAGCAGCCGCGGUAACAC
rnacentral:rRNA from 1 species